AGUACUUCAACAAAAACCACGGGCACACAACACCCUGCCUUUUUUUUUUUUUUCCGAGUUGACAGUGAUGGGUACGGCGUGGCGGUGGGGGAAGCCGGUCCCCAGACGCGCGCUGGGGAAGGGCCGUUCGAUGGUGGGAGCACCUGGCACCCUUGGGACUUUCUCAAAUUCAUGUUAAAACGAAGAACCACUGGAGCCCUCGAUGGUCAGGACUCUCCGAAAGAACCCACGUGUGUGGGAGAGGCUGAGAUUUCACCUUCAGGGUUUGGACUCUGUCGCCAGGGAGCAGAGUAGCCCACGACGGAGCCGAAAACCACGCACAGGCAUCAGCUCACAUUCCUCCGGUCAGGAACCUGGACCCGCCUGGUCCUCACUUCGGGGCUUCGCACAGAACCUAGAAGCAAAGGUAUCACGUGACUGAGGUCUCAUCCUGAGACGCGUGUGGGGACAGUUCCCGCUGGCUGCGUGUGCGUGUGUGUGUGGGACGAAUGUGCAAAUAGCGGGCAGGCUCCUCGAUGACUCUGAGGCCUCAGGCAUGUUUCCAGCCCCUCACGCGUGGAGACAGGUCAGAAGAUGUCCAGCUGCCCGGUUUCCUCAUCUGGCUCUGGGCUCAAGUGUGAUCACGCGUGAGGAACACUUCGUCCUGGGGCCUCAGCAUCCGUGUCGUGUGCUGGGCCUGCCCCUCCAGCGCCCACCACACCUGCACAGUCACUGCAUGGGCGCCCAGGGAUCUCAGGACACGGGCAUCAUGCCUCUGGCGAGAGGCACUGAGCGAUCGCCAAGCGCCUGGCACCUGCCGGGUGAGCAGCCCCGGGCUGGCAAGUGAGCAGAGAGGGAAGAAGGGCCUCCAGCUCCCCAAGUGCUUCAGCACAUCCGGACUCACAGGCAGCCCUCGGAGAGCCGUCCAGAGACGAACGAGCCCCAGGCUGAGGGCGGGAGUGGCUGAGGCGGCAGGUGUGCAGCAGGAGGUGUGGUCCAGCCUGGACAGGAGCUGAGGAUGGGACACGUGGAGAAGACGUUUGCAGACUUCCUUGUGCGAACGGCUGCGGUGCCUGCCAUCUGUCUGUCUGUCUGCCAAAAGUCUGUCGGAUGCUUGCCCACAGGGUGGAGGGCUUUGCCCUUGAAGGCUGGGUCCUGGAGCUGACCCUCUACGGCUGACAUCCUGGAAGAUGGGAGAGGAAAUGAGAAGCGGGGUCCACGGCAGCCUGGGUGGGGGCUUGGGGUGCACCAUCAGUCCUCCCGGACCGAGCCCCACCUUGGCCCUACAGCCCCCACCCUGGGGCGCCCCUCAAGCACAGAGGUCCGUGGCCGCAGGCAAGCAGGGCUCUCAGGUGUCGGCUGCGGCCUCCUGAGCUGCGAGGCACUGGGCUGUGGCACAGGACGCAGACUCACGGGGAAGGUGGGGUCCCCACGAAUGCCCAUCUCCGGGAGGCUUUCUGCGGGAAGGGGUUUGGCCUGGAUGGGGAAUCGGAUCUGACUCGGUGACGCUGGCUGUCCCCACUCGGCUCCGGGGAUAUGCUCCCAACUGGGCUGGGUCCCAGGGGCUCCCGAGGGCCUGGGGAAGUUUACGUGGAGCCAACUGGCACGGCUGGCAAACGUCCCAGCCCACCCUCAGCCCUGGGACUCCAGCUGCCCUGCUGGCUUCCCUGAGCUCUGCUGCUUCAUCUCUGCGUGGAAAACGCUGGAAUCCUCCCCUGUGCUCCCCCAGGCGGGAGCCCCCGCUGCAACCCAGGGCUCUGAGUCAGGGCCUGCGGGCUCGCUCACCCGGCCCUCCUGAUGGGCUUGGAACCUGUCAGAGUGGUGCCUGGCACGACCUAAGUGCUGUGCCAUGAGUGGACUCUGAUUGCCCCAUGCUGCCCACUCUUUAGAGGCAGAGGCUGCUUUAAGGAGAGUCCAGCUGGGCCCAGGCUUUGGUUCUGGUGACAGCUGGCUGGGAGUGGAGUGACCUGUCCACAGCCAGGUGCCUGGUGGCACAGAAGGAGUGGAUCCAGGGCCCGUGCCUGGGGGGUCUGGGGCCAGGAGACAAGAGGGCUUUGGGGAAAGGGUUUGUCAUGGGAGGGGCGGGGCUCCCUCUUCCUGCUCUCAGAGGUCAGGGCCUGGCAAGUUCUGGCCAAAGGCAGCAUCCGGGUCACCAUGGGUUCCUGGACACUGCUCCCUCAGCGUCUGGUUCGGCAGCUGUGCCGAGAACACACACGUCACCUCCCCAAUUUCCCAGGCGACCCGCUGCUGCUUGGAACACACAGGAAUCAGGAUCAGCAGCUCUUCCUGAUUCUUGACCCUGGCCUGGCCCCAGAAGAGGCAGGUUUUACUGCAUUAAAGCUCAGUAUCCUUCUUUUUUGUCUUUUUAGGGCCGCACCCGCAGCAUAUGGAGUUCCCAGUCUAGGGGUCGAAUCAGAGCUACAGCUGCCGGCCAGCACCAUAGCCACAGCAACGCAGGGUCUGAGCUGCAUCUGCGACCUACACCCCAACUCACGGCAUCGCUAGAUCCUUAACCCACCGAGCAAGGUCAGGCCCCCAAACCUGCAUCCUCGCAGAUACUACGUUGAGUUCUUAACCGGCUGAGCCACAGCGGGAACUCCCACGGCCUGCACGGCCGUCCUGCUUGGGGCCGGGGCGAGGCCAGGCUUCCUGCCAUCAAGACCCCCCGGCACCAGCUCCCAUCAGUGAUUCUUCUUUUCCUCCUGGGGCACCCCGGCCUUCGCGUGCCUUCUCAACCUGAGAAGCUCUCGCCCUCUCAGCUAAAUGUGGCAUAGCUGACUCGAGCUCUCAGGUCUCUACUCAAAUGUCACCUCUUCCGAGAGGCCUCGUGCAACUAGGAGCUUAAAACAACGUACGUUUCAGAUUUCCGGGGCCUGGUAACAGGAGAUGGCUUACUGGUACUGAGCCCCCUGCCAAGAAAAACAACACUGCCUCCCAGACAGACCACGUGAGCCACGUCAGAGCCACACCUUCUAUUCAUCUGCUCUUCUGUUUUUCUUUCUUUAUUUUUUCCCUUCUUUUUUUUACAGCUGCAUGGGCGGCCUAUGGAAGUUCCUGGGCUAGGGGUCGGAUCAGAGUUGCCGCUGCAACCUAUACCACAGCUCACAGCAAUGCCAGAUCCUUAACCCACUGAGCGAGGCCGGGAAUCGAUCCCGCAUCCUCACGGACACCACGUCAGGGUCUUAACCCACAGAGCCACAACGGGAACUCCUGCUUUUCCAUUUCUAAAAAAGAGGCAAAAAGAAGUCUUGCCUUGGCACAGGUUUGAAGCCGGAAGCCAGCGUCCGGGUUGUGCUGGUCUGGAGCAGAGACAUGACCUGUGGGCCCUGGUGGACUCCAGCUCCCUUCUUUGGUGUCGCCGUGCUGGACACGGCAGGCGGUUCCUGUGUGGGAUGUGGGUGGGUGGGGUCUGGGGAGUUGGAGGCGAAAGACCCUGCAGGCUGAAUCUUGCAGCAUGGAUGGAAACACAACUAUUAGAAAGUGACAGAGGUGGACUAAACAUGGGGAGACACUGGGCGUGGGGCAAGACUGACAGUUACCCGGGCCUUCUUCAGAGGGCCUCCUAGCCUAUGGGAUGCAGGGCUAACGUGGCUCAGACAGACGAGGCUGUGUCCUUGGGCUGGGGCUUGUGUCAGAGAGCCAGGCUACCAGCUGGGGUGUGGCGGGUGGGGAGUCCUAAAAUAAGAGAGGACCCCACGUCUGACACAGACCCUCCCCUGUCCCUGGCUGAUGGCUGGUCUGAACACGCCUGAGGUGAGAUGCCCACAAUGCAAUGGGGGAACCCGCAGGGUGGCCAACACAGCCCAGCAGAUUUCAGCACUGCCUGGAGUCAGCGGGCAGUUUGAGUUCAUGGCGCAUCAUAUGAGAUGGAUUUGAGAAACCUCUCCAGCUUUCUGUUGAAACCCCAGGGGGCCAGACCCUUAAGGAAAAGGACAGUAUCCAGGACCGAAGCCAAUCGCCUGGGAUUAUGAACCGCAUAGAGCCACCCUGGCAAGCCCAGAGCCAAGACCCCCAGGCUCCACAGGACCCCACCGACCUGCCUGCCAGCACCGAGCUCAGCUCUGUUUUGAGGAAGAGCUCAGAAUUCAGUCUCUGUAACACAGCCGCCACCACGUCUGGCACAGAAUUGAGGUUUACUAGACACACAGAAGAAGGAACACGUGACCCAUCAUCAAGAAGGGAAAAGCUGGAGUUCCCACUGUGGCUCAGUGGUAAUGAACCUGACUAGUAUCCACAAGGAGGCAGGUUCAAUCCCCGGCUUCGCUCAGUGGGUUAAGGAUCCCGUGUUGCUGUGAGAUGUGCUGUACGUCACAGACGCAGCUCAGCUCUGGCGUUACUGUGGCUGUGGUGUAAGUUGUCAGCUGCAGCUCCGAUUCAACCCCUAGCCUGGGAACCUCCAUAAGCUGCAGGUGCAGCCCUUAAAAAGGGGAGGCUGGCGGAAGAGGGUAAAAGGCAAAAACAGAAUGGGUGCCUCAGAUGUUGAAAAUUACAGACAAUGACUUUGAAAUAAGUAGACUAAAUAUGAUAAAUAUGACAUAACAAAAGAGGAAUAUAACGAGUAAAGAAAUGGGGGAUCUCG
rnacentral:lncRNA from 1 species